CUUUUCACAGGCAAUUUUGGUCUGUCCAACCAUGACAUGCCUUCAUAAAAAUGACAGAUGAAGCAGCUGAGUAACCGCAUGCAUCAGAAAAGAGAGGAGUGCUGAUUCUAAGGACAGUGAUGCUUCUACUCCACCAGCAGGAUCUUGCCAUCAUGAAGCAUCAGUCUGAGACCCACGUGCUGUUCUGAACACAAUUUGAAUGAUUGUGUUCAUCAAGAGAUGCUCGCAAAAGCAGCUACGUGACAUCUUAUAGAGAGUUACUGUUUAACUUAGCACUGUUGCAAUUUACAUUGCCUUCGAUUAACUAGAUUUACUUUUGAGGAAUACCACUCCUGCAAAUAUAUCAGUUACUCAGAUUUGCCAAUAUAUGGACAAAAUAUGUCAUCAAAGGAUUAUGGAAACUCAAGGGAAGAUAGAGAGGAGCCAAAGAGGGACAGAUGGAGCC
rnacentral:lncRNA from 1 species